AUUGAACGCUGGCGGCAGGCCUAACACAUGCAAGUCGAGCGAGUGGCGGACGGGUGAGUAAUGUAUGGGGAUCUGCCCGAUGGAGGGGGAUAACUACUGGAAACGGUGGCUAAUACCGAAUACUAUCUGAUGAACCCAUAUGGGAUUAGCUUGUUGGUGGGGUAACGGCGCACCUAGGCGACGAUCUCUAGCUGGUCUGAGAGGAUGAUCAGCCACACUGGGACUGAGACACGGCCCAGACUCCUACGGGAGGCAGCAGUGGGGAAUAUGGCACAAUGGGCGCAAGCCUGAUGCAGCCAUGCCGCGGGUAUGAAGAAGGCCUUAGGGUUGUAAAGUACUUUCAGCGGGGAGGCGUUACCCGCAGAAGAAGCACCGGCUAACUCCGUGCCAGCAGCCGCGGUAAUUC
rnacentral:rRNA from 1 species